CGCAACAAACCUACGCAUUGUGGGACCCGGUGAGGUGGCUGCCCGUCAGCGAGAUCAGGAUGUCGAGGCGGCUCGACGCGCGAGCCCCUGCGCCACCUCCUCAACUCCUCUGCUCAGACGGGAUACCAGUUGACCAGACACGGACGGCGGCGAGCCGGCGACCAUCUUCCACUACCCAACAUCGCCUCGGCCAGCUGUAGAAACGUAGCACCGCCGCCAGUUCGUCUUGCAGAAUUGAAUCAGACAUUAUUGAUGGACACCCCCGCCGUUGUCGAGGAGUGGACUGCUUAGUCUGACGGUUGGAGUGCAACCAGGUGUGUCGUCCCCUUCUACUUAAGCGAGAUAGAAAUACCAAUCGGUGGGUGUGUAUGUUGGUUCUUAACAUCACUGGAUCAAAUGACUCCGCUGCGCACUGCUGCCUCAAGUUCGCUGGAAGCAGGUGAGGCAAUCAUAGAUGUGCAUGCUCCAGGAUACCUCCCAGUCAAUGCUUCAAAUCAUCAGACCUUGAUGCCAUCCAUUGUCAUAGAGGAGAUCAAUGCUUCAAAUCAUCAGACCUUGAUGCCAUCCCUUGUCAUAGACCUUGAUGCCUUAUUGUAGUUGUAGAAAAUAUAAGAUGGCUGAAUAUUGUGUUGUAUUGAUCUGACCCGUGUAAGGGUAUAUAUAGAGGUACAAUGGAGGGGGAGAGACUUGGAGUAGAGGACAAGUUAAACCUAUCCUAUUUUUAUCUCUUAUCUCUAUCUUAAACGUAAA